rnacentral:lncRNA from 1 species
CCUAACUUUGAUGGCUACCUCUGAAUAAUGAUUUCUCCUCCUCUCCUCCAGGGGCCAGGGGGUCUGGUUUUAUAGUCCCCUCAAGUGAACGUGAGCCAUUGGAUCAAACCGACAUAAAUUGUAUGGUUUAGAUUGAUCCUUUAGGUCGGUGGAGUCUUGCCCCAAAGCAGAGUCCUGUUUGGAGUCCAACCCUGGGCGGGCGCCCAAGGGGGUGGACGGGCGCCCUGCCCCCGAGCCCGAAUCCCUUCUCGUUCGUUCCCGUGGCUUUUGGACCCUUCUAGAUUGAGGAAAAUUGCGCUGCACGUAAUUAUCUCGUUGUAAACAUGACAUGUGGGCCUUCUCUCCAUAAUUCCUGAUAAACCCCUGCAGAAAUAGAUUAACACCAAAGCUCGUGGAAUUCUGUCAGAUAAAACCCUAAUUCUAGAUGUUUGUUUCAUAUUGAUCCCUUUUCAUGUUUCUUUGAUUAUUAAUUUUAGUGCUUAAGGACCGUCAACAAACUCCCCCAAGCUUACCCUUUGCUCGUCCCUGAGCAAAUAGCUAAACUCAGACAAAUCAGAAGUUGCUUCGAUGUUUUCUUUCCUGACAGGCACACAUGCUUUUACAUAAAAAUUCUUCCAGAUUAAAGUGAAGUGUUAUGGAGUUUAGAACCUGCACUUAAAUCUUAAGUAAUCGAAAGACAAAAUUGUUAAGUCAAGCACUAUCCCUCCUGUUUAUACUUCACCUUUGUUCCAGAGUUUUUCAUAAGUAAAAUAAAACUCAGAGUUCCCAGCAAUGAUUCUCUCAAGUCUCUCUAUAUGUGGUAUUUGUGGAUCCUUACCAUAUUGUCACUUACCUAUAACUAAUGGAAUAUUUAAGUGGAGCUCAUAGGAGUGAAAAAUAGCUCAUACAUAUGUUGUCUAAUCGAGCCAUGGAUCCAAAGGAACUCAGCAUAUAAUUAAAUCAAGAUGUGCAUGUGUGGUGGAGUAAAUGAUUGUGAUGGUGAAAAUGUAUAAGUGUUAAUAAAACUUAGUUCUCAUUGCUCCUCAUAUUGCUAUCUCUCCUCCUCUUUGAUCAUUGCUUUGGGAGAACAUGGGCUAUCUUUUUCUUUUCUUUUUCUCUUCUCUUUUUUUUCAGGUGGGUAGUAGACACCCCUAAUUCUACUGUCGGACACUUGUCCAUUUUUUCCGCUCAAGUGGGUAUCUUUGUACCCCUAAUUCUACUUCGGACACUUGUCCAUUUUUACCUCUCGUCUCACUUUCUUUUCUUUCCUUUUCGAGGUUCCGGGCACUUGCUCCUUUUUAUUUCCUCGUAUAUUUUUGCAUAACCCUUGCCUCUUCUGCAUUGAAUCUUUUUAGAGAGAGAAUAACAAUAUUCAGGACAGCGAGUGAUAAUAUUUUUAGCAAAUUUAAUGAUUGGUGGUGAAUGCUGUGGUAGAUGUGUGCAAGUGAAUAUCUUAAUUUAACCACAUGAAAAGCUCCUAAGGGUCUAGACAGCUCGAUCAAACUCAAUGUGAAUAUAGUAAAAGAUGUUAUAGCAAGUAUGGCUGCGGUAGGUAGUUUAUUAUGCUAGGAACUCAUCAUGUGAUUUGUAAGUUUUCAAAAUAAAUCUCCAGAACUUAGUGUAGUAGAAACAAGAUAAACAGUAGCCCAACUUUAUAUCAUGCCUUUCUCUUACCUAGACUUUAGUUUUAUGCUUCCCAAAGAUAGUAAUUUUAGUUUUAGUAAUUCCUGGAAGAAUUCUAAUAUAAAAGCUAGGUACUUGUAAGUAAGCAAACAGAGCAACUGUUCAUCAUUUCCAUCAUGCAUUUUUUUGGUUUUUUUAUUUUUGUCUAGAGAUUAAACUUAGCAGAAAAAUAAAGCACACUUAUCUACACAUUCUUUCUAUUUUGUUUUCAUGUUUA